CAUUCAGGAGGCAGAUUUCUUUCAUAAUUUAAGCACCUGGAAGACGCAGAUUACAAACUAAACAUGCCGAUUCCAAAGAGGAGAGGUGUUAAGGGCAUCUACAAUUAUUUAGUUUAUGGUCAGAAACUCAAUCAACGAUCAAUAGAGAAUUUGAAGAUUUUUAGACUCACAGUGUUAACGUUUGUAUUUGCAAUUGGGUUCAACAAAUUCACACAAAGGAAUUUAGGUCCUCCGAAGGUGUCGAAGUUGGAGCUGGAGGACACUGAAAUAUCCAAAACAGUUGAAACACAACAACGAUAGCAUUAUUUUAUCUAAAGAUAUGGUGUGGAUGAAGCUAGGUUCAGAAUGUGGCAGAAAAAGGAUCUACUCACCAAUCAAGAAGACUUCCAGCUUUGGGAAAUUGAACAAUUCAUGGUUUCUUAUUAAGGAUGAAUGGGAUACCUGAAGUUUGGUGCUGGUAUUAUUUGCACACCUGUGAACUUUAUAGUAUGAUCCUGAGUUGAUAUCCAAUUGUUUCCAAUAGGUUUGGAUAAAAGUACAGAUCAGUAAAAAAAAGUGUAUACACCUGAUUAAAACAAUAGAACUCAACACAACAUAUUUAUAUUGUUAAUGGUAAAGUGAACGAAGAAAACAAUGCUGGUAAUGCUGUACAUCCAUCAACAAUGUAUCUUGAAAAAAAAAUGAUAAAACAAAUUUUGAAUGGAACAAUUAACAUUUAUUGCUUUAGAGUUGCAGUUUUAGAUUUGAAAUGAAAUAAGCAGGUAAAUAUUUCAGUACAUCAUAUUGUAUUUAUUUCAAUAGCUUGAUUUUAAAACUGGAAAUUUUGAUUAAGUGUAGUAGUGGUGAUGUGAGUGUAUUGAAUGCAGAUGAAUUCAUUUAUAUAAUUGUAUUUAAAAAAGAAUUGUACAUAAUAAAAUGUGAUUUGAUGGA